GUAGGUGGCAAGCGUUGUCCGGAAUUAUUGGGCGUAAAGCGCGCGCAGGCGGUUCUUUAAGUCUGAUGUGAAAGCCCACGGGCUCAACCGUGGAGGGUCAUCGGAAACUGGAGAACUUGAGUACAGAAGAGGAAAGCGGAAUUCCACGUGUAGCGGUGAAAUGCGUAGAGAUGUGGAGGAACACCAGUGGCGAAGGCGGCUUUCUGGUCUGUAACUGACGCUGAGGCGCGAAAGCGUGGGGAGCAAACAGGAUUAGAUACCCUGGUAGUCCACGCCGUAAACGAUGAGUGCUAAGUGUUAGGGGGUUUCCGCCCCUUAGUGCUGCAGCUAACGCAUUAAGCACUCCGCCUGGGGAGUACGGCCGCAAAGGCUG
rnacentral:rRNA from 1 species